rnacentral:rRNA from 1 species
GGAUGAGUUGCGAACGGGUGAGUAACGCGUAGGUAACCUGCCUGGUAGCGGGGGAUAACUAUUGGAAACGAUAGCUAAUACCGCAUAAGAGUAGAUGUUGCAUGACAUUUGCUUAAAAGGUGCAAUUGCAUCACUACCAGAUGGACCUGCGUUGUAUUAGCUAGUUGGUGAGGUAACGGCUCACCAAGGCAACGAUACAUAGCCGACCUGAGAGGGUGAUCGGCCUCACUGGGACUGAGACACGGCCCAGACUCCUACGGGAGGCAGCAGUAGGGAAUCUUCGGCAAUGGACGGAAGUCUGACCGAGCAACGCCGCGUGAGUGAAGAAGGUUUUCGGAUCGUAAAGCUCUGUUGUAAGAGAAGAACGAGUGUGAGAGUGGAAAGUUCACACUGUGACGGUAUCUUACCAGAAAGGGACGGCUAACUACGUGCCAGCAGCCGCGGUAAUACGUAGGUCCCGAGCGUUGUCCGGAUUUAUUGGGCGUAAAGCGAGCGCAGGCGGUUAGAUAAGUCUGAAGUUAAAGGCUGUGGCUUAACCAUAGUACGCUUUGGAAACUGUUUUACUUGAGUGCAAGAGGGGAGAGUGGAAUUCCAUGUGUAGCGGUGAAAUGCGUAGAUAUAUGGAGGUACACCGGUGGCGAAAGCGGCUCUCUGGCUUGUAACUGACGCUGAGGCUCGAAAGCGUGGGGAGCAAACAGGAUUAGAUAGCCUGGUAGUCCACGCCGUAAACGAUGAGUGCUAGGUGUUAGACCCUU